rnacentral:rRNA from 1 species
UACGUAGGGGGCAAGCGUUAUCCGGAUUUACUGGGUGUAAAGGGAGCGUAGACGGCGGCGCAAGCCAGAUGUGAAAGCCCGGGGCUCAACCCCGGGACUGCAUUUGGAACUGUGCUGCUAGAGUGUCGGAGAGGCAGGCGGAAUUCCUAGUGUAGCGGUGAAAUGCGUAGAUAUUAGGAGGAACACCGGUGGCGAAGGCGGCCAACUGGGCUUUAACUGACGCUGAGGCUCGAAAGUGUGGGGAGCAAACAGG